CAACAUCCAAGUUUAAUGGAAGAAAGAAAACGCAAACCACCUGAUUAAAUCUGAAGAAAAGGAGAGAAGUGGAAGACUUGCAUAAAGAUUUUAGCUCUAAAAUGCAGAAAUAAUACAGGUAUGACAACGUAUCUUCUAUGAGCUUCCCUUGUAUGAAAUAAAUUAAUGCUUUACUAGAAGUUCCAAUCCUGUAAUAUCCGGAUGUUUCUCUUUCAUCUCUGUUGGGGCUGCUGAUGACUUAUGAGUGGCCCUGACUGAUCUUCUGGUCUUGAGGGGCCACCCUGAAACACAGUUUCUUUUCUUCUCCCACAUUUGGGCUGAUAAGCCAACUAUCUGGUACUUCUUUUCCACUUCCACACACGCCUCUCUGCCUGUCAGCUGCCUCCCCAGCUCUCCCCAUCUUCAUUCAUUUCCUUUCUCGUGUCCUGGCUCAUGAUCCUCACCUCGCACUCCAAAUGCAGCUGAGUUUAUUUUCUUCAUAACCACCGCUGCUGGACUUGUUUCCCAUCACCAUAGCCAAGUCACUGGUAAUGUAGUCGUGUGAUUGCAGACUUAUGUACCAGGCUCAGCAGGAAACUUUUAACUUUUUUCUUAGCCUUAUCCUCUGUUCCCCCUGAAAACUUAUAUAUACUUUUGUUAUGCAAAAAGCAUAAACUGAAAGGUAUGGUAACCCACUUCUGCACAUUCAGCCACUGGUUUGGUAUUUAUUAUGAUAUAGCAUUUCCCAAUUUUAGGCUUUGUGUUUGCACAGAUUCUCUGUGUAUAGAUGCUUUGGUCCUGGGCUGUGGUUUCCCUCUCUGAACUAUAUGGUAGUUUAAGGCCUCACCUUGCUAUUGCACAAAUUGUAUGUUUUUGGAGGUGUUUGUUUGUUGUCUUAACUGUAGUUGCAAGAGACAAAGGAGACGAAACAGGAUGAGAAACCAUGCUGCCCUAGGGAUAUCUGUCUCUGGAAGAUGGUUGAUGAAGAUGCACUGUAAAAAAAAAAGACCGGACUGCUAACCAUUUCCACUGGAUUCUGCGCUGGGAAGGAAUCCCCCAAGUGACUAUAUAUCCCUACAACUAGAGCUGUUUUCCUUCUGCGCUGGGGAAAUUUGAAGAGAAUAUCAGCAAGAUAAGUGCUGCUGGUAGCAAGGCCACCAAUACCAAGGUAGUAGGCAACUACAGGGCGAGAGAGGGGCAGUAACCCUGUGGGCUUCUGUCAGCUGGAAAGCUGGUUCUAAGGGAGACAGGACUGUAUCUGCUUUUCCUCCCCUGAUGCUCUCCUGCAAGGAAAAGGAAACUGUGAACUGCAGCUUGCAAAAGUUUCUUUUUGCAGGUUAUGUCUGAAAGACAGCUCUAACAAUGUCACAAUCAAGGGUGGAACAUGGGCUGCAAAAUAUUCAGUUUACCUUGUGGAGCUCAGGCUGGCAAGAGGAACACUAUCGCACUUGUAGAAAGUUCAGAUUUAACCUAUGGUUUGAUCUGUGCUCUUCUUGACAGGUGAAGUUUGAUCACUGUGAAGUGCAUUUUAUGAAUUUCUACAAAGAUUAGCAGAAAAGUUUUAUAUUUAUCAAGGCAACUUUCCAGCAGGCAUUGCUGAAAUGAUGGUAGUAUGAUCACUUAAUCUUAUCAUUUACUUUACCUGAAAACUAAAAUACUCAGAUGAAAUUAUAAAAGCAGUAGGGGGAUAUCAUCUUUUUUUAUUGCACAGCUUGAAUGCUUCUAGCAGGAUAUGAACAGCAUGUGACAAUUCAGCCUGGUAACAACUUUGUACAUAGAUCCAUAGAACAGAUUACUUCAGUUUUUACAAAAGUUACAAGUACUAUAGAGAGAUAGUGGGAUCAUGGUUUGUAAACCUUAAACCACACUUUCCUGCACGACAAUCUGCAAAGAGGAUGUUCUUUUUUGUAAAGUGAGUAUGUGUUGUGCAGCCGCAAGAAGCUUCCCCUUUCUUCAGAAGGACUACAUAAAUGUUACUUCUGAGAUUGCGCAUCCUGCAGUUACCUUGUAGUUUGCACUU
rnacentral:lncRNA from 1 species